UGAUGCAGCGACGCCGCGUGAGGGAUGACGGCCUUCGGGUUGUAAACCUCUUUCAGUAAGGAAGAAGCGAAAGUGACGGUACUUGCAGAAGAAGCGCCGGCUAACUACGUGCCAGCAGCCGCGGUAAUACGUAGGGCGCGAGCGUUAUCCGGAAUUAUUGGGCGUAAAGAGCUCGUAGGCGGUUUGUCGCGUCUGCCGUGAAAGUCCGGGGCUUAACUCCGGAUCUGCGGUGGGUACGGGCAGGCUAGAGUGCAGUAGGGGAGACUGGAAUUCCUGGUGUAGCGGUGAAAUGCGCAGAUAUCAGGAGGAACACCGAUGGCGAAGGCAGGUCUCUGGGCUGUAACUGACGCUGAGGAGCGAAAGCAUGGGUAGCGAACAGGAUUAGAUACC
rnacentral:rRNA from 1 species